AGUGAACGCUGGCGGUAGGCCUAACACAUGCAAGUCGAACGGCAGCACAGUAAGAGCUUGCUCUUACGGGUGGCGAGUGGCGGACGGGUGAGGAAUACAUCGGAAUCUACUUUUUCGUGGGGGAUAACGUAGGGAAACUUACGCUAAUACCGCAUACGACCUACGGGUGAAAGCAGGGGAUCUUCGGACCUUGCGCGAUUGAAUGAGCCGAUGUCGGAUUAGCUAGUUGGCGGGGUAAAGGCCCACCAAGGCGACGAUCCGUAGCCGGUCUGAGAGGAUGAUCAGCCACACUGGAACUGAGAGACGGUCCAGACUCCGACGGGAGGCAGCAGGGGGGAAUAUUGGACAAUGGGCGCAAGCCUGAUCCAGCCAUACCGCGUGGGUGAAGAAGGCCUUCGGGUUGUAAAGCCCUUUUGUUGGGAAAGAAAAGCAGCAGGUUAAUACCCCGCUGUUCUGACGGUACCCAAAGAAUAAGCACCGGCUAACUUCGU
rnacentral:rRNA from 1 species